CGCGUAGGCGGCCCGCUAAGUCGAACGUGAAAUCCCCGGGCUCAACCCGGGAACUGCGUCCGAUACUGGCAGGCUUGAAUCCGGGAGAGGGAUGUGGAAUUCCAGGUGUAGCGGUGAAAUGCGUAGAUAUCUGGAGGAACACCGGUGGCGAAGGCGGCAUCCUGGACCGGUAUUGACGCUGAGGCGCGAAAGCCAGGGGAGGCAAACG
rnacentral:rRNA from 1 species